rnacentral:lncRNA from 1 species
CUUUAGGAGGUGAUUAGGUUAUAAGGAUUUCCCCCUCCCCCCUGAAUGCGAGUAAUGCCCUUAUAAAAGAGGCUCCAAGGAGCCUCUGGCCUCUUCCACUGUGUGAGGACACUUAGAAGGCACCAUUUAUGAGGAACAGGCUCUCACCCAACACUGAAUCUGCUCGUGCUUUGAUCUUGGCUUUCCCAGUCUCCAGAACUGAAACUCUAAUAAGGGAUUGGAAAGUGAGGCAGGCGGGGGAGGAACGAAUACCAGCAUCAUUCUGCAAGUGACUGUGGCAUUUGCAGAAAGCACCACCAGGGCAUGCAGAUGAGUGGGGCAGGUAAGGCUUGGCCCGACAGCGCCAUGUAGGGGAUGUUACUGGUCUUGUACUGAGCUCUAGCUGCCUUGGUCCCUUUAGGUUUCACCACAUCCCUGUGGAAUAUGCACUAAGCCCAUUUCCAUUUUACAGACAAGGAAACUGAGGGGGCCAAGUUCAUUGCCCAAGGACACAGCCACCAAGUGGCAGGGUGGAGAUCAGAGCCUCACGUCAACCUGGCCUGGAGCUCUUUUCCUGCCCCCACUGAGCUGCUUGGCCCCCAAGGUGGAGCUUCCGCACACGGUAUGAGGACGAGAGCAAGCCCUGGUCCUCUGUGGACCACUCUUCCUGGCCAGUGUGACCCUGGGCCCACACAAUGCUGCAAAGGCCACGAGUGCUCCACGCCAAGCACCUGGACUCCUGCGGUGGUGCCCUGGGUGUUUCUCAUCUUUGGGGCAGCUAUGCCCUUCCCAUGCCUGAUAUCAAGAGGCCUUGGGGUACCCACUUCACUCCACAUACAACUUGUGAGCCUCACUUGUGGUCGGGAGAAGAGACAGGUGACUGAUUCAAGUUCACUUCUACACAGGAGGCUGGGGAAGAGACAAUGUGAAGAUGGUCAACUGCAAACCAGGAAGCAGGCCCUCACUGGACGCCAGAUCUGCUGA